UGAGUUAGUGGCGGACGGGUGAGUAACGCGUGGGUAACCUGCCUUACACAGGGGGAUAACACUUAGAAAUAGGUGCUAAAACCGCAUAAGCGCACAGCUUUGCAUGAAGCAGUGUGAAAAACUCCGGUGGUGUAAGAUGGACCCGCGUCUGAUUAGCUUGUUGGCGGGGUAACGGCCCACCAAGGCGACGAUCAGUAGCCGGCCUGAGAGGGCGGACGGCCACAUUGGGACUGAGACACGGCCCAAACUCCUACGGAAGGCAGCAG
rnacentral:rRNA from 1 species